UUGGUCAGUUUUUUACCAUUACAAACUAGA
rnacentral:piRNA from 2 species